UGAACGAAUAACAUUCAGUAUCUGGACCUGAACCAUAAUUGUUCACAGUCUGGAAAUGGAUGAACCAUGGAUGUGGACAAGGCCAUUUUCCUAGGAUUCCAUUUCAUGUUUUACUGACUUCGUUUGAUACUCACAAUCAAGAUGAGGGGAGUGUAGUUCACGUCUUGGAGGUGUGUUUAAAAUUUGGAGUGGGGGGACCGAACAUACUGUCGAUAAUCUUCGUGCCGGGGUAUCCUGCUGUGGUUGGCCCUGGACAUCAGACCUUGCUUUCUUUGCUGCCACAUGUUUUUUUUGGUGGUGUGUUACAGAAGUCUGACUUCUGCUGCUCCAGACUUCUUUUGAUGGACCUAGUAUUGAAAGUUAAAUUUUGUUAUGGCCAUUCCUUUACAAACAUACCCUAUACUACAAUGGACACUUUACCUGCUUCCGCAGCGUCAUCAUCAUCAGAUGUCAUGGGAGUUACUGUAGGACGACCAGUACUGCUUUUUUCCAACACUGUAAAACCAAAAUAAAAAAUCAUGUAUUCAUGCUA